GGAUGCAAUCAUAUCAGCACUCACGCACCAGAUUCUAUAAUUUAAAUGUGCUUGGGCGAGUAUAGUACUAGGAUGGAUAACCUUUGUAGAGUUCCCGUGUUUCGUCCC
rfam:Nicotiana attenuata strain TT scaffold02079, whole genome shotgun sequence.